rnacentral:rRNA from 1 species
AGGUAAAGGCUCACCAAGGCGACGAUCCGUAGCUGGUCUGAGAGACGACCAGCCACACUGGAACUGAGACACGGUCCAGACUCCUACGGGAGGCAGCAGUGGGGAAUUUUGGACAAUGGGGGCAACCCUGAUCCAGCCAUUCCGCGUGAGUGAAGAAGGCCUUCGGGUUGUAAAGCUCUUUCAGCAGGAACGAAACGGUGGCCACUAAUACUGGCUACUAAUGACGGUACCUGAAGAAGAAGCACCGGCUAACUACGUGCCAGCAGCCGCGGUAAUACGUAGGGUGCGAGCGUUAAUCGGAAUUACUGGGCGUAAAGCGUGCGCAGGCGGUUCCAUAAGACAGAUGUGAAAUCCCCGGGGCUUAACCUGGGAACUGCGUUUGUGACUGUGGGACUCGAGUGUGGCAGAGGGGGGUGGAAUUCCACGUGUAGCAGUGAAAUGCGUAGAGAUGUGGAGGAACACCGAUGGCGAAGGCAGCCCCCCUGGGUCAACACUGACGCUCAUGCACGAAAGCGUGGGGAG